rnacentral:rRNA from 1 species
GAUGAACGCUGGCGGCGUGCCUAAUACAUGCAAGUCGAGCGAACGGACGAGAAGCUUGCUUUUCUGAUGUUAGCGGCGGACGGGUGAGUAACACGUGGAUAACCUACCUAUAAGACUGGGAUAACUUCGGGAAACCGGAGCUAAUACCGGAUAAUAUUUUGAACCGCAUGGUUCAAAAGUGAAAGACGGUCUUGCUGUCACUUAUAGAUGGAUCCGCGCUGCAUUAGCUAGUUGGUAAGGUAACGGCUUACCAAGGCAACGAUGCAUAGCCGACCUGAGAGGGUGAUCGGCCACACUGGAACUGAGACACGGUCCAGACUCCUACGCGAGGCAGCAGUAGGGAAUCUUCCGCAAGGGGCGAAAGCCUGACGGAUCAACGCCGCGUGAGUGAUGAAGGUCUUCGGAUCGUAAAACUCUGUUAUUAGGGAAGAACAUAUGUGUAAGUAACUGUGCACAUCUUGACGGUACCUAAUCAGAAAGCCACGGCUAACUACGUG